rnacentral:rRNA from 1 species
CGCUGGCGGCGUGCUUAACACAUGCAAGUCGAACGGAGAUUAUUAAUGAAGCUGCGAUUAAUAAUCUUAGUGGCGGACGGGUGAGUAACGCGUGGGCAACCUACCCAUAAGCGGGGGAUAACAGUUGGAAACGACUGCUAAUACCGCAUAAGCUAUUAAGGUCACAUGACCUUAAUAGUAAAGGUGGCGAUUUUUACAUUGCUAUCACUUAUGGAUGGGCCCGCGUCUGAUUAGCUAGUUGGUGGGAUAGCAGCCUACCAAGGCAACGAUCAGUAGCCGGCCUGAGAGGGUGGACGGCCACACUGGGACUGAGACACGGCCCAGACUCCUACGGGAGGCAGCAGUGGGGAAUAUUGCGCAAUGGGGGAAACCCUGACGCAGCGACGCCGCGUGAGCGAAAGAAGGCCUUAGGGUCGUAAAGCUCUGUUGUAAGGGACGAAUGUUUAUCUGGCGAACAGUCAGAUAAAGUGACGGUACCUUACCAGCAAGCCCCGGCUAACUACGUGCCAGCCGCAGC